rnacentral:rRNA from 1 species
UACAAAGGGGGCGAGCGUUGUUCGGAAUUACUGGGCGUAAAGGGCGCGUAGGCGGCCGAUCAAGUCAGAUGUGAAAGUCCUGGGCUUAACCUGGGGACUGCAUUUGAUACUGAUUGGCUUGAAUUCGGGAGAGGAUAGCGGAAUUCCCAGUGUAGAGGUGAAAUUCGUAGAUAUUGGGAAGAACACCGGUGGCGAAGGCGGCUAUCUGGACCGACAUUGACGCUGAGGCGCGAAAGCGUGGGGAGCAAACAGG